UACGUAUGGUGCAAGCGUUAUCCGGAUUUACUGGGUGUAAAGGGAGCGUAGACGGAGUGGCAAGUCUGAUGUGAAAACCCGGGGCUCAACCCCGGGACUGCAUUGGAAACUGUCAAUCUAGAGUACCGGAGAGGUAAGCGGAAUUCCUAGUGUAGCGGUGAAAUGCGUAGAUAUUAGGAGGAACACCAGUGGCGAAGGCGGCUUACUGGACGGCAACUGACGUUGAGGCUCGAAAGCGUGGGGAGCAAACAGG
rnacentral:rRNA from 1 species